UGGUGCAGUGGUUAAGCAUUCAGCUGCUAACUGAAAGGUUGGUGGUUCGAAUCCACC
rnacentral:tRNA from 1 species